rnacentral:misc_RNA from 1 species
GAUGAAGAACGCAGCGAAAUGCGAUAAGUAAUGUGAAUUGCAGAAUUCAGUGAAUCAUCGAAUCUUUGAACGCACAUUGCGCCCGCCAGUAUUCUGGCGGGCAUGCCUGUCUGAGCGUCAUUUCAACCCUCAUGCCCCUAGGGCGUGGUGUUGGGGAUCGGCCAAAGCCCGCGAGGGACGGCCGGCCCCUAAAUCUAGUGGCGGACCCGUCGUGGCCUCCUCUGCGAAGUAGUGAUAUUCCGCAUCGGAGAGCGAUGAGCCCCUGCCGUUAAACCCCCAACUUUCCAAGGUUGACCUCAGAUCAGGUAGGAAUACCCGCUGAACUUAAGCAUAUCAAAGCGGAGGA